CAGUCGCCGCGGGAAUACGGAGGGUGCGAGCGUUAAUCGGAAUUACUGGGCGUAAAGCGUACGCAGGCGGUUUGUUAAGUCAGAUGUGAAAUCCCCGAGCUUAACUCGGGAACUGCAUUUGAAACUGGCAGGCUAGAGUCUCGUAGAGGGGGGUAGAAUUCCAGGUGUAGCGGUGAAAUGCGUAGAGAUCUGGAGGAAUACCGGUGGCGAAGGCGGCCCCCUGGACGAAGACUGACGCUCAGGUACGAAAGCGUGGGGAGCAAACAGGAUUAGAUACCCCAGUAGUCCCUGUCUCUUAUAC
rnacentral:rRNA from 1 species